rnacentral:sRNA from 1 species
AUGAAGACCCCUCCCAAGCUAGAGGGUGAUGCUACUGAUGGCUCCUUUGCCAAUAAGCAUGGCCGCCAUGUCAUUGGCCACAUUGAUGACUACAGUGCCCUAAGACAGCAGAUUGUGGAGGGCAAGCUGCUGGUCAAAAAGAUAGUGUCUCUUGUGAGAUCAGCGUGCAGCUUCCCUGGCCUUGAAGCCCAAGGCACAGAGGUGCUAGGCAGCAAAGGCAUUCAUGAGCUUCGGAGCAGCACCAGUGCCCUGCACCAUGCCCUAGAGGAGUCGGCUUCCCUCCUCACCAUGUUCUGGAGAGCGGCCCUGCCAAGCACCCACAUCCCUGUGCUGCCUGGCAAAGUGGGAGAAUCAACAGAAAGGGAACUUCUGGAACUGAGAACCAAAGUAUCCAAACAGGAGCGGCUCCUUCAGAGCACAACUGAGCAUCUGAAGACCGCCAACCAGCAGAAGGAGAGCAUGGAGCAGUUCAUCGUCAGCCAGCGUAGGUUCCCUGAGAGGGAAUGGGGGCAGAAACAGGCAGUCUUCCCGAUGCCCCACUUGUGCUUCAGAUGAGAAGUGAUCAGGGGGGCUUGGGGAUGUUGGGAGUGGAGACUGAUUUGAUGUCCCCAAACCUCCUGUGCCAGGAGCAAUUG